rnacentral:rRNA from 1 species
CAGCAGCCGCGGGAAAACGAAGGGUGCAAGCGUUACUCGGAAUUACUGGGCGUAAAGCGUGCGUAGGUGGUGGUUUAAGUCCGUUGUGAAAGCCCUGGGCUCAACCUGGGAAUUGCAGUGGAUACUGGGUCACUAGAGUGUGGUAGAGGAUAGUGGAAUUUCCGGUGUAGCAGUGAAAUGCGUAGAGAUCGGAAGGAACAUCUGUGGCGAAGGCGACUAUCUGGGCCAACACUGACACUGAGGCACGAAAGCGUGGGGAGCAAACAGGAUUAGAUACCCGAGUAGUCCCUGUCUCUUAUAC